ensembl:snoRNA SNORD35A small nucleolar RNA, C/D box 35A
GGCAGAUGAUGUCGUUUCUCACGAUGGUCUGCGGAGGCCGCGGGCGCUGCCGACAACGCCGAUGGCUCAGCUGAUGCCAGCAG